rnacentral:lncRNA from 1 species
UGCUUGCUAUUGACCCCAGCUGCCAUGCUGUGAGGGAGCCCAGGUGACUGGGAGACACCACAGUCCUCACUAAGGCUCUAACCAACAGCCAGCAUCAGCUGUCAGACGUGUGACUGAGAAAUCUUUGAGAUAGCUCCAGCCUCAGCCAGUGUCCAACUGCAACAGCACAAGGGACUCUGAGCAAGAAUCACCUUCCGGAGCCUAGUUUACCCCAGAACUGUUAAGAGAAUAAUGGCCUGCAGACAAGUUGGAGUGGCUCUGCUCCAACUGUAUCUGAUUCUCCUCCCAGCAGCAGCGGGUGAGCCAAGGCAUGUUCCAGUGGCCAUGGCAGAAGCACAAGAGGGCGAGUGAAAAUGCUCUUAAAUCCCAGGAGGAGCUGAGGAAGAAGUAUGUCUACUUAAGAGGCCCCCAUAGACAUCCAGCCUCCUGGGCUCUGUCUCCAGCAUGAACCAGCCUGGUGGCUGUGACCUGGCCAGAGAAGCUCAACACUCAGCGUUCCACCCCAAGCCCGGUGAAAGUAUCACGAAUUUGUUGAGCAAUCGAAGCCCAAGCUCCCAUCAUCCCAACAGCUGCAGUGAAUCUAUCUGUGACUUCUCUGGAUACCCAUUAAAAAACAGCUCUCAGUAAUAGGGUGUGGAGGGCUG